CCGGCACGGGUGCGUAACGCGUAUGCAACCUACCAUCAACAGGGGGAUAACACUGAGAAAUUGGUACUAAUACCCCAUAAUAUCUCAUGCGGCAUCGCAUGGGGUUGAAAACUCCGGUGGUUGAUGAUGGGCAUGCGUUGUAUUAGCUGGUUGGUGAGGUAACGGCUCACCAAGGCGACGACACAUAGGGGGACUGAGAGGUUAACCCCCCACAUUGGUACUGAGACACGGACCAAACUCCUACGGAAGGCAGCAG
rnacentral:rRNA from 1 species